AUAUAAAUGAAGUAUCGCUGGAAUAUUUAUCUUGCUUUCAUGCAAUCUGCUAUCUUGCUAGACUUACUGACCUACUGUUGUUGUACAAAGUGUGCCUAGUGUGUUGUUGUUCUGCAAAGUCUGCCUUCACUCACUGAAAUUUAAAACUGCUAGAUCGAGAAGACUUUCAAUACCUGGGGAAGCUGCUUUAGGUACCAAGGUACGUCGUGCUGAAUAUUAUUCAUCAUUCCAUUGACUUAGUGUAUUAUUUUAUUUCAUGUAACUAGCUAAUUAUGUUUUUCUGCCAUGUUUUUACGAUAUCUUCUUUCUUGCACAAACUUCUAUUAUUAUUGUGCGGGGAUAUUGAAUCUAAUCCAGGUCCGGCUUACCAUAUUAAAUCAGUUAAUGGGUCAUUUAAUCAAGGCGACAAAAAGUUUGGUGAAACUGCUGGUAUUCAGUGUAUGUGCAAUGCUCUUCUAGCUAUAUGUUGGUCCCAACUCAAAAGAAUUUCUUUUUUAAUAUCAUUUGAUUUAGUCAUUUGAUUUAGAUAACAUCUUAGAACAUGGUGAUGCUAAUUUUAAGCAGUCAAAUUUCAACAGACCCUUGGCAUGUUAUGAGUUACCAACAUCAAUAUUGAUCGUUUUCAAAUUGCUAUAAGUUUCCUGAGUAUUACGUCAGCUCUUUUGGGUGAUGAACAUUACUUCUUAGCUCAUGGACAAAUGAAUUCAGAAACAGUUCAUUGUGUUUUCGAAAGCAUAUAUUGGUUCAUAAUGUUCAUGAUAAUCCUGGGGUCAGUUCUGUUUCACUUCGCAAACUGUCCUUUUCAUCUGAUGUUCUUAAUGUCAUUGUUAUUUACAGAAAAGUUAACAGUCAUCUGCAGACAUUUUACAACAUGCUGUCAAGGAAAAUUGCAAGUUCUGGCUUUUCUCUAAUGCUUGUCAUUUGCUACAACAGUCACGCGAGUGCAACUGAAGACUACACAGAUCGUAUGCAGCCUUUAUAUUCGUCUGAACCAUCACGUGAGCAUUAAUCCAUCAGGUAAUCUAGAAAUCGCAUUACGUUCUAUGCUGGGGCAUAUACGAUGCACAUGGCGACAUGCCUAAUCUUAUAAUGAAAAAGAACGCAUUACGUUCCAUGCUGGGACAUAUACGAUUCACAUGCAGACUUGCCUAAUCUUAUAAUGGAAAGAAAACGCAUUAUGUUCUAUGCUGGGACAUAUACGAUUGACUUGCAGAAUGUUAUAGAACAAUCUUGUGGAGCAGGUUGCUACUUCGUGAAAACGUCAGCGGAACAAUGUUUGUAUUAAUUUUUUAUGUAUUAAUGCAUUAUUCGAAACAAUAUUUAUGACUCAAAA